CAAAAAGACAGAAGGAAACAGCUUGUUGAUGAGAGAGGUCAGAGGAGAAUGGCCAGACUGGUUGGAGCUGACAGGAAGGCUG